rfam:Xenopus laevis strain J chromosome 1S, whole genome shotgun sequence.
CGGAGGCAUGAGAAGGUGGGGCAGUGAUUUCUGUACUGCUUCCUACUGGUUAUUUCCUCCUACAUUAUCUAUGCGCGUGUUGCUCGGAUUCCUACGCACUUUAGAGAACCCUGCAGUCUCCGCAUUCACAUUUC